rnacentral:rRNA from 1 species
CACGAGGUGACUUCUGCCCAGUGCUCUGAUUGUCAAUGCGAAGAGAUUCAGCCAAGCGCGGGUAAACGGCGGGAGUAACUAUGACUCUCUUAAGGUAGCCAAAUGCCUCGUCAACCAAUUAUUGACGCGCAUGAAUGGAUCAACGAGAUUCCUGCUGUCCCUAGGUGCUGUCCGGUGAACCAACAGCCAAGGGAACGGGCUUGGAUGUGUCAGCGGGGAAAGAAGACCCUGUUGAGUUUGACUCUAGUUUGAUGCUGUGCAACGACAUGUGGGGUGUAGCACAGGUGGGAGGCAAGUGCCAUACACGUCUUGUAUCGAAGUGAUAUCUCUAUCCGCACACGAGGUGUGUGCCAGUGUCGGGACAAUGAUGUAACAGUUGUUGUGCUUCUCUGUCGAGUGAUUAUGGUGCAAACCAGCAGUGAAAUACCACUACCUUCACCGUCGUUUUACUCAUCGAGUGGCUUGGGAACGGUGGCCAUUGGACAUCGGCUUCCGCAUCCUUGUGGGAGUCGUGGCCUCUACCCGCUUCGUGCGCCAAGCGCAGUCACCUCGGUGGCUGUGCGACCCUGUGGGGUUUACACCCCGUCCGUUUGAUCGGUGCCUCGGGACAAUGAUCAGUUGGGGAGUUUGGCUGGGGCGGCACGCCUGUUACAGGACAACGCAGGCGUCCUGAAGCAUUGCUCAGAUGGAACAGAAAUCUUGCAUGGAGGAGCAGGCCAAAGGUGCUGCUGAUGCUGCGACUUCCAGUACAAGUCCAAAACGUGCAAGUGUGGCCUUGCGAUCCUUUGGUUAAGUGCACGGGUUUGGGAUAUUGAAGCCAGAGGUGUCAGAAAAAUUACCACAGGGAUAACUGGCUUGUGGCUGCCAAGCGUUCAAAGCGACGUCGCUUUUUGAUCCUUCGAUGUCGGCUCUUCCUAGCUUCCCACCCGCAGCCGAGUGGAAGAGU